UGGGGAAUAUUGCACAAUGGGGGAAACCCUGAUGCAGCCAUGCCGCGUGUGUGAAGAAGGCCUUCGGGUUGUAAAGCACUUUCAGCGGGGAGGAAGGGGAGCAAGCUAAUACCUUGUUUCAUUGACGUUACCCGCAGAAGAAGCACCGGCUAACUCCGUGCCAGCAGCCGCGGUAAUACGGAGGGUGCAAGCGUUAAUCGGAAUUACUGGGCGUAAAGCGCACGCAGGCGGUUGGAUAAGCUAGAUGUGAAAGCCCCGGGCUCAACCUGGGAAUAGCAUUUAGAACUGUCCGACUAGAGUCUUGUAGAGGGGGGUAGAAUUCCAGGUGUAGCGGUGAAAUGCGUAGAGAUCUGGAGGAAUACCGGUGGCGAAGGCAAUCCCCUGGGCCUGUACUGACGCU
rnacentral:rRNA from 1 species